rnacentral:siRNA from 1 species
GACCGCAAACAAAUGGGCGAAU